rnacentral:rRNA from 1 species
AUUCCAGCUCCAAUAGCGUAUAUUUAAGUUGUUGCAGUUAAAAAGCUCGUAGUUGGAUUUCGGAUGUGAACGACCGGUCCGCCGUUGCGGUGUGCACUGGACGUUUGUAUCUUGUUGUCGGGGACGCGCACCUUGCCUUAAGUGGUCGGGACGCGGAGUCGGCGCUGUUACUUUGAAAAAAUUAGAGUGUUCAAAGCAGGCAACCGCUCUGAAUACAUUAGCAUGGAAUAACGCUAUAGGACUCUGGUCUUAUUGUGUUGGUCUUCGAGACCGGAGUAAUGAUUAAGAGGGACAGUUGGGGGCAUUCGUAUUUCAUUGUCAGAGGUGAAAUUCUUGGAUUUAUGAAAGACGAACUUCUGCGAAAGCAUUUGCCAAGGAUGUUUUCAUCA